rnacentral:rRNA from 1 species
GUGGGGAAUAUUGGUCAAUGGACGAGAGUCUGAACCAGCCAAGUAGCGUGCAGGAUGACGGCCCUAUGGGUUGUAAACUGCUUUUAUACGGGGAUAAAGUGAGGGACGUGUCCCUUUUUGUAGGUACCGUAUGAAUAAGGACCGGCUAAUUCCGUGCCAGCAGCCGCGGUAAUACGGAAGGUCCGGGCGUUAUCCGGAUUUAUUGGGUUUAAAGGGAGCGCAGGCUGAUUGUUAAGCGUGACGUGAAAUGUAGCCGCUCAACGGCUGAACUGCGUCGCGAACUGGCAGUCUUGAGUGAGUACGACGUCAGCGGAAUUCGUGGUGUAGCGGUGAAAUGCUUAGAUAUCACGAAGAACCCCGAUUGCGAAGGCAGCUGACGAGUCCUUUACUGACGCUAAAGCUCGAAGGUGCGGGUAUCGAACAGG